rnacentral:lncRNA from 1 species
GUCCACAUAUUAGAUUUGCUUAAACCAAAGGUAUUUUUCUUUGAAAUGAAAUAAUUGUAGGGGCAUGUAACAGUUAAGCUUUAGAGUAACAGAGGAAAAACUGGGUAAGAUUUUAUAAGUCAGUAUAUUGCUUUUUAGGUAGGAAAUUCUGCUUAAGAAGUCAGACAGCUUCUGCUGUUACUAUGGGAAAAGGAGAAGGCUGCCCAGCGUAUUUCAGGGAGAUUUACUAGGAUCUCUUGGGAACUGCAGCAGAAAUCACUACGAAAUAUUUUGAGGAUAGAGGAAAUAGGACAACAGCGUUUACUAGGUUUUACUCUGAAGAAAGCUAAAGAAGGUGAAAUGGAGUUCAUCUUGAGAAAGCGGUAAAAGAUUGAGAAGCUAAGAAAAGACUUACACAGCAGCAACAAGAAGAGACUGGAGUAGUGGGCAGAGUUUCCGGUCAGCAAGAGAGCACCAUCCAGUUGUCAUGCUGGUUAGCAGCAAGGAACAUUAACAAAGGAGAUUAGGAAUGACCAGGGUCAGUUUUUGUUCAUCCAGUUUUGCCUCCCACAAUCUCUCUCUGAUCUUUCCCUCCUGAUCUGUUUGAGUACUGUAGCAGCCAUGCACUCUCUGCUGAAGGGUAUCACGUUUACCUUUCACUGUGCCUAGAAUGCUCUUCGCCUCAAGCCUCCCUUCUUCACUUGAUUCAAGUUUCUGCUAGAAGCUCCCUUAUCAGAGAGACCUUUAGUGACCACUCUGUCUGAAGGAGGCAGACACUCUUCCCUUAUUCCGCUUUACUUCAUAACAUUCAUUACCACCUCAUACAUGGUGGUUUAAUGUUUCCCCAGUUUUCUCUGCUAGAAGUAAAUUCUUUGAGAGUUCAGCUUCCGUUUCUUUUGCCCAUCACUGUAUUCCCAGUACCUAAUUCAUAUAAAAAUUUGUGGAAUGGAUUUUUAGGGUAUCUCCUGCUAUCACUGUGAGAAGAGCUGAGAAUGAGGAGUACAGGACUCAGCCCUUGUUCUAUGUUAUGCAAUAUAUUAUAUGGUUAUACUAAGUAUAACAGCCUGAGGACAGAGUGCUGUGAGCUUUGAGAAAUAAGCUAGAGAUGGUCAUCACAGAACUGGAUCUUGAAUGAUAAAGAGGAGUUUUGUUCUGUGGUGGAGACAAGGAAUGAUCUUCUAGGCUAUCAAAGCAGGGUGAGUGAAGUUGGAGAGUUGUAGAAAUGAGUUUUGUGUUUGGAUGUCAUUGAGUGAUUUUGAUGUGGCUGCUAGAGCACAGGUGCAUGGGAAAGCAUCACAAAGGGGCCUGAGAGGUAGGGUUGGGGAGGACAUGUAAAACAUGUGGAGAUCUGAUUGGUAAAGUUAUUGAUAGGAGUUUGGACCUUAUCUUUUGGGAAGCAAGGAAGUAGCAAUAUCCAAAAGAGGGUGCUUACGGAUGGAUUGAAAGAGGGAAGGUUAUAGAGGGGAUAGAGAACAAAACGGGAUAUGACUUUCCCAACCCAGAAAUGCAUGAGAAGGUUGGGGAUCUUCACAAUGAAAGACAAAAAAAAAAAAAAAAAAAAA